UACGGAGGGUGCAAACGUUGCUCGGAAUCAUUGGGCGUAAAGCGCACGUAGGUGGCCUGUUAAGUCGGGUGUGAAAUCCCUGGGCUCAACCCAGGAAGUGCACUCGAAACUGGCAGGCUUGAGUACUGAAGAGGGUCGCGGAAUUCCCGGUGUAGAGGUGAAAUUCGUAGAUAUCGGGAGGAACACCAGUGGCGAAGGCGGCGACCUGGGCAGAUACUGACACUGAGGUGCGAAAGCGUGGGGAGCAAACAAG
rnacentral:rRNA from 1 species